AUUGAACGCUGGCGGCAGGCCUAACACAUGCAAGUCGAACGAGUGGCGGACGGUUGAGUAAUGUCUAGGAAAAUGCCCGAUGGAGGGGGAUAACUACUGGAAACGGUAGCUAAUCCCGCAUACCAUCGGAUGUCCCCAGAUGGGAUUAGCUUGUAGGUGAGGUAACGGCUCACCUAGUCGACGAUGCCGAGCUGGGCGUGGAGGAUGAUCAGCCACACGGGAACUGAGCCACGGGCCAGACGCCUACGGGAGGCAGCAGUGGGGAAGAUUGCGCAAGGGGCGAAAGCCUGAUGCAGCCAUGCCGCGUGUAUGAAGAAGGCCUUCGGGUUGUAAAGUUCUUUCAGCGGGGAGGCGGUACCCGCAGAAGAAGCACCGGCUAACUCCGUGCCAGCAGCCGCGGUAAUUC
rnacentral:rRNA from 1 species